GAAUUCGCCCUUCCUACGGGAGGCAGCAGGCGCGCAAAUUGUCCAAUCCCAAUACAGUGGGGAGACAGUGAAAAGAAAUAUCAAUGCAGGGCUUUUCAGCUUUGCAAUUGGAAUGAGUUUAACCCAAAUCCCUUUACAAGUAUCAAUUGGAGGGCAAGUCUGGUGCCAGCAGCCGCGGUAAUUCCAGCUCCAAUAGCGUAUAUUAAAGUUGUUGCAGUUAAAACGCUCGUAGUCGAAACUCUGUUAGUGAAAACUGGUCAACCCUAGUGGUUUGUACUGGCUGUCAUUGACAUUAAUCCAAGUCAUUCAGCAGGUAAUGCUGUCGGAUAUUUGGAGCUGUUACUUUGAGAAAAUUAGAAGUGUUUCAAGCAUGGCGUAAUGCCUUAGAUACUACAGCAUGGGAUAACCGUGUAGGAUUUAAGUUCUUCUUGGUAGGGUUAAGAACCUGAGUAAUGAUUAAGAGAACCAGUUGGGGGCAGUCGUCCUAAGUCGGAUAAGGGGAAAUUCUUAGAUUGACUGAAACCAACUACUGCGAAAGCAUUGCUGGGAUGGUUUCAUUGGAUCAAACCAAAGUAGGGGAUCGAAU
rnacentral:rRNA from 1 species